rnacentral:lncRNA from 1 species
CCUCUUUGGUCGGAUUCGGGCACGCCAACAGACCGCCGAACGGACAGGGUUUCCUCUGCACGCGGACAGAGUCUCCCCUGUACGUUCAAGGCGUCGCAAUCAAUACAAGUACAAGGGGUUCCAAACAGGAACAAUUUUCAACAACGAUUGCAUAAGGAAGGUAUCAAACAACAUAACACAUCCUAUGUUAUUACAAUCAUUCAUCUCAUCAUUUUACAUCGCAUUUUUCAUUACAUUGAUUCUCAACUUCCAAAUAUACAAUCGAUUUCUAAACAUAACAUUACAACAUCGAUUCUUUUCUUUUCUUUUCUUNCCGGAUAUGCUUCCGCUGGUACCCGGGCGUGACAGAUUAUAGUGGUAUCAGAGCCUAGGGUUGAGUCUUAGUAGACCUAGCAAACCUUAGGCUGGUUGGACUAUAAGGAUAGGCACGUGAGAGACGAUGUCUAGUCUAGGUUGUUGUUAGCGAAAGUACUUUGAUUGGGUACUUAUGAACUCCGAAUAGUAGGAGUUUGAUUGGGAUGUGCAAGUACUAACUUUGCAGAGGGUCACGUUGGCGGCCGACAACGUGACAUCGGAAGUUAGUACGCGUUACAUUUCAUUACUUUCGCUUGAUUAGUUGGUUUCUAUCCUCAAUGAGGAUUCGAUAGAAUAGGGUUUAUUGACCUAUGUUUGUUUUUGUGCUGCAGCUUAAGAUGCCGUUAACUCGUUCGCAAGCCGCCAAGGCAGCGGAGGCGGCGAAUGCAGAGGAAGUGGGGACUUCUGUUACUUCGGGAUCUAGUGGGAUCCAUGAGUUGCAGGAUCAGCUUGCGAUGUUGACAGACUUGGUUACUCAGCAGGCUGCGGCAGCACGACAGCAGAUAGAUGCUGCUCGUCGACAGGAGGACAGGAUGAAGAGGUUAGAGGAUCUGUUACUGCGGCAGACGACCGACAGAGAGAUUCCAGAUUCUGUACCUAUAGCACCAGAGAGGGGCACCACAGUGAGAGCACAGUCACCCGUACUUGAUACACCCCCAGUAGCCCCGAGGGUAGAGACCCGACAGGAGACAGUGGUACCACCACCAGUGCAUAUGGCAUCAUCAGGGACAGUGUUACCCGAGAUGGUGGGGGUUGAGGAGCGAGAGCGGAUGAUGGAACGACUGAAUGAAUUCCGUCGCUGCAACCCUCGUGUUUUUGACGGGGAGAAAGCAGAUCACUGGGUGGUCGAGAAAUGGCUAAUGCACAUGGAGAAGCUAUUCUAUGAUACUUUUGUUGAGGAGCGGUAUCGAGUUUGGUUUGCGACACACCACCUUGACGGUGAGGCUUAUAGGUGGUGGGUGGACAUUCGUGAGGAUCCCCGUGCUGAUUUGUCUGCUAUUACGUGGAACAGGUUCAAGAAACUGUUGUUGACUACCUAUUUUCCCCAGAGUAUAAAGAGACAGAUGGAAAGAGAUCUGAGAAACCUGAGGCAGGGGGACAGGACAGUGGCAGAGUACGAGCGAGAGUUCUCCCGAUUACUGCACUGUAUUCCUUUUGUAGUUCGAGAUGAUGAGGACAAGGCUCGCAUUUUUGAGGUGGGUUUGCGACCUGCGAUCUUCAGAUUGGUCCAGGCGUCAAACCUCUCCACUUACCGGGAUGUAGUGAACCGGGCCUUGAUCAUCGAGAAAGGGGCAGAGAUAAUGAAGGAAAGAGAUGUUGUGGAUCGAAGCAGAGGGAAGAGACCUGCAGUUGAGAGCAGUGGUCAGCAGUCCUUUCGGAGACCGCCAAAGUAUCCGAGGGGGCAGUCAGGUCAGUCGAGGGGUCGAGGUUCUUCAGCACCCCGUGGAGCACCCGAGCGUCGACGACCGCCGCGUUGUGUUAUCUGUGGUGGGCCUCACGUACCGCCACAGUGUCCACAGCGUGGGGGCAGGUGCUUUCUUUGCGGCCAGGAGAGCCACUUUCGUUCAGAGUGCCCGAGAGGUUCUUUGCCUGCACCCUCGUCAGCGACUGCACCUGCAUCUUCAGCUCCGAGCCAGGGGACCCCAACAGCGCCUUAUCAGUCUAGGCGACCACCAGGACAGCGGCAGUCGGAGAGUUCGCAGCAGGGUUCGAGUGGGCGGAUGUAUGCCGCCCAGACCGAGGGCGCCGCAGCAGCACAGGAGGUCGUAGCAGGUAUUAUUAUGCUUUAUGAUAUUCGUGUUCGUGCAUUAUUUGAUACUGGUGCUUCGCAUUCUUUUAUUGAUCGGCAGUUCGCCGAGUUGCAUAGCAUUCCUUUAGCACCUACUUUGCAUCUGGGACGAGUGAUUGUACCUGACCAUACCCUAGAUGUUCGUGAGUUUUGCCCUCGCUGCCCAGUUAGGGUAGGCGACUGGAUUAUGCCAGUGGAUUUAUUGGCACUACACAAACUAGGUGAGUUUGAUGUAGUAUUGGGUAUGGAUUGGUUGACACAGUAUUAUGCCACCAUAGAUUGCACGAACAGAACGGUGACCUUUAGGGAACCGGGUCAACAGGAGUUUGUUUAUAAGGGGUGUCAGAGUUCAUUGUUCGCAAUGACCAUUAGCUCUUCGCGAGCACGACAGUUGAUACGGAGAGGAUGUGUAGCCUAUUUGGCUAGCAUUUCUGUGAGUGACGGAGAAGCCGUCAAGAUUGAUGAUAUCCCGGUUGUGCGAGAAUUCGGGGAUGUGUUUCCAGCUGAAUUGCCGGGCAUGCCACCUGAUAGGGAGGUUGAGUUUGUGAUAGAUCUUGUCCCUGGGACUACCCCUAUUUCUAAAGCGCCUUAUAGGAUGGCACCCGCUGAAUUGAAAGAGCUGAAGGCACAGUUACAAGAUCUUUUAGAUAAAGGAUUUAUUCGACCGAGUGUAUCGCCCUGGGGAGCACCGGUGUUAUUUGUCAAGAAAAAGGAUGGAUCUCUUCGAUUGUGCGUGGAUUAUCGAGAAAUCAACAAAGUCACAAUCAAGAAUAAAUAUCCAUUGCCCAGAAUUGAUGACUUAUUCGAUCAGCUGCAAGGAUCGAAAGUAUACUCCAAGAUUGAUUUGCAAUCUGGGUAUCAUCAGCUCAAGAUCAAGCCUGAAGAUGUUUCUAAGACUGCUUUUAGAACACGGUAUGGGCAUUAUGAAUUUACAGUCAUGCCGUUUGGAUUGACUAAUGCCCCAGCAGCCUUUAUGGAUUUAAUGAACCGUGUCUUUAAGCCCUAUUUGGAUAGAUUUGUGGUAGUGUUUAUUGAUGACAUCUUGAUAUAUUCUCGAAGUGACAAGGAGCAUGAAGACCAUUUGAGAGUAGUGUUACAAGUACUUCGAGAAAAGGAACUAUUUGCCAAGUUAAAGAAAUGCGAAUUUUGGCUUCAAGAAGUGGCAUUUCUGGGCCAUGUGAUUUCUGAAACUGGGAUAGCUGUGGAUCCCAAGAAGAUUGAAGCGAUUAAAGAUUGGCCUAGGCCGACCAGUGUCACAGAAAUUCGGAGUUUCCUUGGUUUGGCGGGAUACUACCGAAGAUUUGUAGAAGGAUUUGCAAAGAUGUCUACUCCUCUCACUCGACUCACACAUAAAGGAGCUAAAUUUCUGUGGAAUGAAGCCUGUGAAAGAAGCUUUCAAGAGCUGAAGGAACGGUUGACUACCGCCCCGAUUCUGGCUUUGCCUGUUACUGGAGUGGAUUAUGUGAUUUACAGCGAUGCGUCACUGAAUGGAUUAGGGUGUGUUCUAAUGCAGAAUGGCAGAGUAAUUGCUUAUGCUUCUCGCCAAUUGAAAGAUUAUGAAAAGAACUACCCUACACAUGAUCUUGAGUUAGCAGCUGUGGUAUUUGCUUUAAAGCUUUGGCGCCACUACCUCUACGGCGAGCGUUGCGAAGUUUAUACAGAUCAUAAAAGCUUAAAGUAUCUGUUUACUCAGAAAGAAUUAAACUUGAGACAACGUAGAUGGUUAGAGUUGCUCAAGGAUUAUGAUUUGACCAUCCUCUAUCAUCCUGGAAAAGCUAAUGUCGUAGCAGAUGCUCUAAGUCGAAAAUCGACGGAAAAUUUGGCGAUGUCGAUAACAAUGCAACCACUGUUGGUAAAGGAAAUGGAGCAAUUGAAUUUGGAAGUUGUAGCUCCUGAUACGCCUUGGAGACUUAUGUCAUUAGUGGUGCAACCUACCCUGAUCGAUCGAAUUAAGGAAAAGCAAACUCAAGAUGAAUUCCUGCAGAAGAUUCGAGAUAAGAUCACUGUUGAUCAUGAUAGUGAUUUUCGAGUAGAUGAUCAGGGAUUGUUGAAAUUCGGUGAUAGGCUUUGUGUACCGGCAGAUUCUGGUAUUAAAGAAGAGAUUCUUGCAGAAGCACAUCGGGCCCCGUAUACUGUACACCGUGGAAGUACAAAAAUGUAUAAGGAUUGAAGUUAACUUACUGGUGGCCUGGAAUGAAAAAGGAAGUUGCGGACUUCGUGGCUAAGUGCUUAACAUGUCAGCAGGUUAAAGCUGAACAUCGACUUCCUGCGGAAAAACUUCAGAGCUUACCCAUACCAGUGUGGAAGUGGGAGAGGAUCACAAUGGAUUUCAUCGUUGGAUUACCUCGCUCACAAGCAGGUCACGAUGCAAUUUGGGUAAUUGUCGAUCGAUUGACUAAAUCUGUCCACUUUAUUCCUAUUCAUACAGUGUGGUCGGGGGAAAGACUCGCACAAGUGUAUCUUGAUGAAAUUGUGCGAUUACACGGAGUACCUGCUUCGAUUGUUUCAGAUCGAGACACCCGAUUUGUUUCACAUUUCUGGAAGAGUUUACAGGAGGCCAUGGGUACUCGAUUGGACUUUAGUACUGCUUUCCACCCCUAGAGUGAUGGGCAGUCCGAGCGUACCAUCCAGACCCUUGAAGACAUGUUGCGGGCCUGUGUGAUUGAUUAUCAAGGCAGUUGGCCACAAUUCUUGCCUAUGGCUGAAUUUGCCUAUAACAAUAGUUAUCACGCCAGUAUUCAGAUGGCACCGUUUGAAGUCCUUUAUGGUAGAAAGUGCAGAUCACCACUUCAUUAGAGUGAAGUAGGUGAGAGAUUGGUUUUGGGUCCAGACGUAUUACAAGAGGCUGAAGCUAAAGUUCGGCUUGCACGAGAACGUCUACUGACAGCACAAAGUCGACAAAAGAGCUAUGCGGAUAAACGUCGGCGAGAACUGGAAUUUCAUGUUGGUGAUCACGUAUUCUUAAAAGUGUCACCGACAAAGGGAGUUAAAAGAUUUGGCAUUCGAGGAAAGUUGAGUCCUCGAUUUAUUGGACCCUACGAGGUGUUGGAACGAAUAGGCCCCGUAGCUUAUCGGCUUGCAUUGCCGCCGAAUCUAUCGGGAGUACACAAUGUGUUUCAUGUAUCGACACUUCGAAAGUAUGUUUUUGAUCCGACUCAUAUAUUGGACAGUACUCCAGUAGAAUUACGAGAGGAUUUGAGCUUUGAGGAGCAUCCAGUGAGAAUCCUAGCUCGGGAAGUAAAACGGCUUCGAAAUCGCGAGAUACCCUACGUGAAGAUCCUUUGGAGUAAUCACGAGGAACGAGAAGCCACUUGGGAACUGGAGAGUGCAAUGCAAGAGCAUUAUCCUUAUCUAUUCUCGAUGGAAUCGUGAGGUAAGUGUUUACAAGUUUCGCGGACGAAACUUCUUUUUAGGAGGGGUGAAUGUAAUAUACAGAACUUUUCCAAAUUUCGAAGUUCGAGUGUGUGGAAUGUGAUGUGACACUAACCUACAUGUUUUAAAAGGUUAGAACAAGUUUUUGGAUAAGUUAGAGAAUGAUUGGAAUGCUAAAAGUGAGAAAGUGCAUUGAACUGGCCAAAAUCAGCAUUUUCUGCUUGCUGUACCGGUACAGCCAUCACCUUGUACCGGUACAAGCUGGCAGAUUCGUGGCAGCAAGGCUAUUUUGGUCAUUUCACAUCUUGUUCUCAGCUAUUUGAUCCGAGCACGACUCCUGGAGCUUGCUGGAGUGUGCUGGAGCUCAGAGAAAGGUUCUCCUACCUUCCUCACUCUCUCUCUCUAGGGUUUUUCUCUCUCUACAAAGAAUUCGCCGAUUUCGCUCGUUUCCGUCGCAUCGCGUGUUCUUCGCUGGUUGCGAGCGUUGUGGAGCCUCCGUGGGCGUGUGAGAGAGUGUUUUGGAAGACUCCUUGCUGUCCUGAACUAGUGAGGUGCUGGUUGAAGCUUGAGAAGGUAUGUGACUCGAGUUUUUCCGUUAUCGGCGCUCUAUUAGUCGAUUUGAGGAUCGAUUUCAGGAUUUUGGCUUCCAACUGUUUUAACCUGAGUUUUCAGCAUGUAAAAAUGAGUUAAUUAGCUGUGAAUUAACCUUCUUAGAUCAGGGAUAAGCUACUUUGAAGCUUAAUUGGAAUNAAUGAAUACUCAAGUCAAAUCUGAAGAGACCCACCCGAAGGCUGUCUAUGGCCCUGAGACCCACCCGAAGGCUGUCUGGCCGGUGCCGAGCCUAAUGGCCCCGUGGUAGUCAUCAUCCCCACCCUAGGAAUGAGCCUGUCCCACGGCAAUCCACUUCGGCGCCCAAUCCCGCACGGCGAAUAUGUAUCGCGAUGGCUAUCUCAGGAGUGCCGGCUUGUAGGGAGCGACCCUCACAAGCAUAUGCGAAUGAGCACAAUGGCAAGUAGUCAAACGAUCUGUCGCAAGUACCAAGUCCUCAUGUCUACUAACAUGGAAUGUAUCGAAUGUCCCAAAGGCCUAUCUCUAUGUCAUUAUGUCUCUAACAUAGAAUAUAUAUAGCAGAUGUACAAUGGUCUAUCAUCAUGUCUCUAAGUUGCAUUUUAUAGUUUACUAGUUCCAAGUGCCUCUUUAUGACACUUUUGUUCAACGAGUCCCAAGUAUGGUAUUAAUAUGUUUAUGAUGCAUAGUUCACUCAAUUCUAGCAUGGAGACAUAUUCUCAACCUGCAAAACCAAGCACUAUCCACAAUGCAUGCAAUCUACACAUAUAGCUCUACUAUAUGGAGUACAAAUUUUACGAUACAUGAGGCAUGCAUGUUAAGUGUUCUAAAAUUCAUGUAAAUCAUGUUUAGCAUGAAUUUGCAUUCAAAAAUACUUUAUAAAAAGUUUAGAAGGCAUAGGGGCCAUUUUGCCCCAUUUUCAUGAAGUCAAACCCACCAAAAUCAACUUCUUCGUUUCGCCGAACGAAGGUAUCCACAAGCUCCCUAGUACCCUAGAAACAUCAAAAAUAGGGUCACCCAAACGAAACGAAGAGCAAAUAGCUCAAUCAUUAAGCUCCUCAAGCUAGGGUUGGAGAAAACUUACCGAUUGCGAAGAAGGCUCUCACGAUCUCCAAAUGGGAGUUAGAGUCCUUCCAAACUAACCUAAACAAAGGUUCUAAACCCAUCAAUUAGGUUUCAAAGCCCUCAAAUCCAAAAACCCCCAAAAUAAACCCUAAAUCCCAAAAUCUAGGGUUUCAUCUAGUAAAACCUAGAAAAGUGUCACGCCCCGAGCCCGCCUCUUUGGUCGGAUUCGGGCACGCCAACAGACCGCCGAACGGACAGGGUUUCCCCUGCACGCGGACAGAGUCUCCCCUGUACGUUCAAGGCGUCGCAAUCAAUACAAUUACAAGAGGUUCCAAACAGGAACAAUUUUCAACAACGAUUGCAUAAGGAAGGUAUCAAACAACAUAACACAUCCUAUGUUAUUACAAUCAUUCAUCAUUUUACAUCGCAUUUUUCAUUACAUUGAUUCUCAACUUCCAAAUAUACAAUCGAUUUCUAAACAUAAUAUUACAACAUCAAUUCUUUUCUUUUCUUUUCUUAUACCCCUAAGAAGCCGACUCAGGGUGCUGCUAUCUGGUCUCUGUGGUAGGGCGCUAACUACGGAGCUACGCCCUUUCCUCGUGCCGCCACGCCGCUCGCGUGUGAACCUGUACCCCCAAAAACAACAACACGGGGGUGAGACUAUUGUCCAUAGUCGUCAGUGGGUACAGCCACCCAAGUGAAAAGCUCAACCCACCAGGUCCAAAGGAGGCACUGCAACAUGUUAGUCCAACAGAUAUAUACAUAUAACAUCAUGCAAUACAUGUUCAUGCCUCACGAAUAUGCAAAUUAUGCAACUCUUAGUCAUUCUUUACCAUUAGCCUUUCUUUAGAAUUUGCUAUUCUUUAUCAUUAGCCAUUCUUUACUCUUUAUUCUUUAUUCUUUAUUCUUUAUUCUUUAUUCUUUGCUAAGGGCACUCGCACCUUAGGCUCAUCAUACACAUUUGCCAUUCUUUAUAACAUUAACAAGUCUUUCUCAAUUAUCACUCUUUCCUAAGGUUACAUUUACCUUAGCCAACUUUGCCACUCGACUCGGUCUUGAGUCAAUUCAUAAUGAAUACAAGAUCAACUUUCCAAUUCAUGAUCCCUUUUUGUUCUUUGUUCUUUAAUCUCACGGCUAACCCGGGGGUUUCGCCACAUUAACUUGCUUCACAUUAAGUCCAUCAUCGCAGGAACUCACCAGCUAGGACCGUCCUUACGGGUCUACUCCAACCCGGAUGCCAAACUCCGGAGCGCAUCGCCCGAGGGGGAGCGACCGCCCUCGAGCACGGAACUCAUAGCAAGUAUGAUCAAUCCUUAACUCUAAGGAUAUGUAGUUGGAUCAUGGUUUUACACUAACUCUAGUGUUCUUUACAUCACUUUAUGUUGCCACUCUAGCAAUCAUUGUUCUUUACAUUUCUUUUACUUUUGCUAACUCUAGCAAUCACGUUUUUCACAUUCCUUUACUUUAAGCUAUCUUUAGCUUUCACAUUCUUUAACUUUACACGUUCUUUAUGCCACAUUACAUUACAUUGUCUUUAGCCAUUAUCAUUAUUCUUUACAUCACAUUGCUUUGCCUUGUCUCAAGCCAUUAUCAUUAGGUUCUCACAUUACAUCUCAUGCAUACACAUAGAUUAUUUAGAUUCUUAAUCAUUCUAAUAAGCACGUGUACUCACAUCAUGCAACAUUACAUUAUUAUCAUCACAUUGUCUUACAUUAUCUUUAGCCAUUAUCAUUGUUCUUUACAUCACAUUUAUUCUUUGAUAUCCCACACUAACUCUAGUGUCCACUUUACCAUUUCGAAUGCCACUCAAUCUAUGUUCAACAUGCAUAUAUUUUGUCAUCCAUUGGUAGUCAUUACUUAGCAUUUUAUGCAUUCGUUAACAUUUACUACAUGCAUUCUCGGUUAGUACAAAUCUCAUACUUUCAUUUGACAUCUAUUUAGCAUUUCUAUAAUAUGCACAUAUAAAUUAACAUCAACUCAUGCAUUCAUUUGGCAUCUAUCUUUAUCAUGCAUUCUUAAUUAGCAUACUUUAUCAUGCAUUCUCAAAUAGAAUACUUUAAUCUUUAUCAUGCAUUCUUAAACAGCAUACUUUAUCAUGCAUCAAUAGUAAACAUACUACACUUUAGCAUGGAAAGCGACCUAAUCGCUUCGGUGAGCACAACCCACCUCAUUUCGCAUUCCGAUUGCUUAUCGACACUUGCAAUCGGCCUCCCGCGGCACCCGUAACCCGGUUUGGCCCGAUCUCUCACGCGACCACCCGAACGGCCUCCAAUUCACCAUCCGAAAAUUAAAGAUCUUCGGUUAUGUGCCACGAAGCUUCAAAUCCAUUUUCAUGAAUUUACGAUAUCGCCUCGGCCCUCCCGGCGGACCUGAAGCCUAAACGUUCAUUUCUUUAAUAACUUUGUAACGGCUCGUCGGAUCGCCGAACCGUCUUCGCCAACGCGUUCGUUUACCUAGUAAUUAGGUUUACGGAGGGUCAAAUUAGAUCAAACCCUUACAUUUUACAAAACUCCAUUCGGAGCCCUAAUAUGCUAUUAACCUCAAAAUAAUCCAAAAUUAAAUGGAUCAACAUGCUAACAAAGCUCAUUAGAGGCUAUUAGAAUACUUAAAGCUAAGGAUUAAGCCAAAUCCUAAAAGCUUACCUCAAU